rnacentral:rRNA from 1 species
AUCCUGGCUCAGGAUGAACGCUAGCGGCAGGCUUAAUACAUGCAAGUCUAGGGGCAGCAUGACUGUAAGCAAUUACAGUUGAAUGGCGACCGGCAAACGGGUGCGGAACACGUACAGAACCUUCCUUCGAGCGGGGAAUAGCCCAGAGAAAUUUGGAUUAAUACCCCAUAGUAUAUUAGAGUGGCAUCACUUUGAUAUUAAAGAUUUAUCACUUGAAGAUGGCUGUGCGGCUGAUUAGGUAGUUGGCGGGGUAACGGCCCACCAAGCCUUCGAUCAGUAACUGGGUGUGAGAGCACGACCAGUCACACGGGCACUAGAGACACGGGCCCGACUCCUUACGGGAGGCAGCAGUAAGGAAUAUUGGUCAAUGGACGAAAGUCUGAACCAGCCAUGCCGCGUGGAGGAUGAAGGUCCUCUGGAUUGUAAACUUCUUUUAUAUGGGACGAAAAAAGGGUUUCUAACUCGUCUGACGGUACCAUAUGAAUAAGCACCGGCUAACUCCGUG